CCGGAGAGAUCCGGCGUUCCCUUCGGGGACCUGCACACAGGUGCUGCAUGGCUGUCGUCAGCUCGUGUCGUGAGAUGUUGGGUUAAGUCCCGCAACGAGCGCAACCCACGUCUUAGUGCCAUCAUUGAGUUGGGCACUCUAGGGAGACUGCCGGUGAUAAGCCGCGAGGAAGGUGUGGAUGACGUCAAGUCCUCAUGGCCCUUACGGGAUGGGCUACACACGUGCCACAAUGGCGGUGACAGUGGGAUGCGAGCCUGCGAAGGUGAGCAAAUCCCCAAAAGCCGUCUCAGUUCGGAUUGCACUCUGCAACUCGGGUGCAUGAAGGCGGAAUCGCUAGUAAUCGUGGAUCAGCAUGCCACGGUGAAUACGUUCCCGGGCCUUGUACACACCGCCCGUCACACCAUGGGAGUUGGUCUUACCCGACGGCGCUGCGCCAACCGCGAGGAGGCAGGCGACCACGGUAGGGUCAGCGACUGGGGUGAAGUCGUAACAAGGUAAGCGUAGCGAG
rnacentral:rRNA from 1 species